CCCACAGGACAGAUGCGGACAGUGAGGCCGGGGAGGCCCUGCUGCCCUCCGAACUGUCCCUCCAGCCCCCAGCUUUCUGUGGUUCUCUGGGCCCCCUCUGCAGAGGGGCAGGGGAGCCCACCCUGGAUCCUGAGACGCCAAGCUUGAGGGACCCCCAGAGCUCUAGCGAGGCUGCUUCCUUUGCGGAUGGUGAAGCUGAGGUCCAGAGGAGGGCAGGGGCAGGUCCUGGGCGCUCCCUAGGCAAAGGGAGCCGAUCUCCGGGAGGCGGUCACAGGGAGCGCUCCUGCGACUUCUAGGGCCCGAAAGCUGGGGAGGAUGAGAGACCAGGGGCCUUUCGUCGUCCCCUGGGCUGGGCAGAGGCUCAGCCUGUGCCGCAACCCUAAGCGGCUUCUGGCAAGUCCGAGCCGCGGUCCCUUUAAGAGGGGGUGGAGCUUCAACCUGGCACUAGGGAUGCUGCUAGCGUGCGUGUCCCUACGGAGCUGAGACUGCAGUUCCUGCGACGCCCCUGCAGCAGCAGCAGCGUGGUCAGAGCGAGCUUCUGAGCGGUGGUUCAUCUGCGUUGCUCUAAAUGGGACUGUUUCAUUAUUUUGAUGGCUGAAGAAUAUUUCCUAGUGUAUGUAUAUGAGAGUUUCUUGAUCUCUUUAUCUGUGGAUGAACAGGUAGGUUGAAUUUACACCCAGUAAUGGGACUGCUAGAUGGAAUGGUAUUUCUUUUUUUCCUAUUCUUUGCAAGACCUCUAACUGUUUUUUAUAGUGUUAAUACUAAUUUAUGUUUGCACAAACAGUUCCCCUUUCUGGCAAUUCAUACCAGGAAUUGUCUUUUUAAAUAUUUUGAUCUUUUUGUAAUGUUCAUUCUAUUGGAGUGAGAUAAGAUCUGAGUGUGGUUUUGAUCUGCAUUUUUCUCAUGAGUAGUAAUGUUAACCACGUUUUUGUAGACAUUCGGUCAGUUUCCUGUCUUCUUUGGAAAAAUAUCUAAUCCGGUUAUUUGCCCAGUUUUUGUCUGGCAAUUGUUCUGUUGUUUUGUUAUUUUUUUGCCAGCUGGUAGUAUGACUGGCUUGUACCUUUUCAAAAAUAAUCCCUUAUCCCAAACUUGUAAUUUUUAGUGUGCCUUUUUAUUUUGUUUAUUGUUUCCUUUGUUGGUCACAAAUGCUUCAGCUUGACGUGGUCCCACAUGUGCAUAAUUUCUUGGUGGCUGUGCUGUUGGUUACUAAUCAAGAAAAAACAAAAUCACUACCAAAGCAGUCCCUUGUCAAUAAUUUUUUUCCCUUGUAUUUUUGUUUACUUUUUGUGAACCCUGAGCAUACAUCCAAGUUGCUCUAAAUAUACGCACACCCGAGGUUGUCUUUAUAGGAGCUUUAUGGUUGCAAGUUUUGUGUAUAAUCUUUAAUCAUUUUGAGUUGAUUAUUGUGUAUCUAGUACCAUAAGGGUCCUGUAUUACCCUUUUGCAUAUGGAUAUCUAGUUUCGGAAGUCUUCCCUGUUGUGUCAUUUUGGUGGUGUUUUGAAAAAUGUGUUCAUUCCAUAUAAAUUUUUGUUUAUUAUUGAGCACAUUCAUUUUGCUCACUGGUCUGUGUUUCUCUGUCUAUGCCAGUAACAUAUGGGUUUGUUAACUACGGAUUUUCAUUUAAUUAGAACUCAGGGAAUGUGAUGCAUCCCGUAUGGUUUGUAUUUCUCAGAAUAGCUUUGGAAAUUCAGGGUGUUUCACAUUUCCACAUAAAUUUUGGCAUUGUUUCUUUAUACUUCCUAAAACACUAUUUGUCAUAUACUAAAUGUAUACAAUUAGAAGGUACAAGGAAGGUUUUCAUACAUGUAUAUGUUGAAUAAUGAUAAAAUCAGGUUAUUUAGCAUCUCUUCAUCUCAUAUAGUUAUUAUUUUUGGUAACAACAUUCAGAAUCUUUCCUUCCAGCUACUUUGAAAUAUAUGAUACAUUUGUGUUAAGGCUAGUCACGCUGCUGUGGAAUAGAAGGCCAGAAUUGAUCACUAUCAUCUGAGAGUAACUUUGUACCCAUCACUGAUUCCUUCCGAGACUGCCUCCACUUCCCCAG
rnacentral:lncRNA from 1 species